rnacentral:tRNA from 1 species
CUGUUGCGCAAUGAAUAGUGCGUUGGACUCCUAAUCCAAAGGUCAUGGGUUCGAAUCUCCACCUGGUUGG